rnacentral:lncRNA from 1 species
AAAAGAUAAAGAAACAAAAGGGGCGCCAUGGGUUGAACCCCCAAUCUUGGGGUUAUAGACCAAGCCCCUUACCACUGAGACAAGUGUGUUUGACUAGUAGUAAAACACGCGCAUGAAUAUAUAUAAAAUGAACCAAUUUAAAACAAAUUAAAUGGACCAACCACAGCCCUUUGAUCCGCCUACUUAAAAAAAGUAUGCAUAAUGGAGGGCUUUGAUCAUUGGG